rnacentral:rRNA from 1 species
AUUGAACGCUGGCGGUAUGCUUAACACAUGCAAGUCGAACGGUAACAGCAAGAGCUUGCUCUUGGCUGACGAGUGGCGGACGGGUGAGUAAUGCAUAGGAAUCUGCCUAGUAGUGGGGGACAACAUGUGGAAACGCAUGCUAAUACCGCAUACGCCCUACGGGGGAAAGGGGGGGAUCUUCGGACCUCUCGCUAUUAGAUGAGCCUAUGUCAGAUUAGCUAGUUGGUGAGGUAAUGGCUCACCAAGGCAACGAUCUGUAGCUGGUCUGAGAGGAUGAUCAGCCACACUGGGACUGAGACACGGCCCAGACUCCUACGGGAGGCAGCAGUGGGGAAUAUUGGACAAUGGGCGAAAGCCUGAUCCAGCAAUACCGCGUGUGUGAAGAAGGCCUGAGGGUUGUAAAGCACUUUCAAUUGGGAGGAAUACCUGCUGAGAUAAUAUCAGGCAGAUUGACAUUACCUUUAGAAGAAGCACCGGCUAACUCCGUGCCAGCAGCCGCGGUAAUACGGAGGGUGCAAGCGUUAAUCGGAAUUACUGGGCGUAAAGCGUACGUAGGCGGUUAGUUAAGUUAGAUGUGAAAGCCCCGGGCUUAACCUGGGAACUGCUUCCAAAACUGUCUGGCUAGAGUCUGGGAGGGGAAGAUGGAAUUAGUAGUGUAGGGGUAAAAUCCGUAGAGAUUACUAGGAAUACCAAAAGCGAAGGCGAUCUUCUGGAACAGUACUGACGCUGAGAUGCGAAAGCGUGGGGAGCAAACAGGAUUAGAUACCCUGGUAGUCCACGCAGUAAACGAUGAAUGUUAGUCGUUGGUAUCCUAGAGAUAUCAGUGAUGCAGUUAACACAUUAAACAUUCCGCCUGGGGAGUACGGUCGCAAGAUUAAAACUCAAAGGAAUAGACGGGGACCCGCACAAGUGGUGGAGCAUGUGGUUUAAUUCGAAGAUACGCGAAGAACCUUACCUAGCCUUGACAUAUUUUAGAACUCACCAGAGAUGGAGAGGUGCCUUCGGGAGCUAAUUUACAGGUGCUGCACGGCUGUCGUCAGCUCGUGUCGUGAGAUGUUGGGUUAAGUCCCGCAACGAGCGCAACCCUCGUCACUAGUUACUAACGGUUCGGCCGAGGACUCUAGUGAGACUGCCUUCGUAAGGAGGAGGAAGGUGAGGACGACGUCAAGUCAUCAUGGCCCUUACGGCUAGGGCAACACACGUGCUACAAUGGUUAGGACAAUGAGAAGCAAUAUCGCGAGGUGGAGCAAAUCUAUAAACCUAAUCUCAGUUCGGAUUGUAGUCUGCAACUCGACUACAUGAAGCUGGAAUCACUAGUAAUCGUAGAUCAGCUAUGCUACGGUGAAUACGUUCCCGGGUCUUGUACUCACCGCCCGUCACACCAUGGGAGUUGAUUUCACCCGAAGCGGGGAAGCUAAACUGGCUACCCUCCACGGUGGAAUUAGCGACUGGGGUG